rnacentral:rRNA from 1 species
GAUGAACGCUAGCGAUAGGCUUAACACAUGCAAGUCGAGGGGCAGCACAAGGUAGCUUGCUAUCUGGGUGGCGACCGGCGCACGGGUGCGUAACGCGUAUGCAACUUGCCCUAUACAGGAGGAUAACCCGUCGAAAGACGGACUAAUACUGCGUAUGCUCACAACUUGGCAUCAAGUGGUGAGGAAAGAAAUUCGGUAUAGGAUAGGCAUGCGUCCCGUUAGCUUGUUGGUGAGGUAACGGCUCACCAAGGCAACGAUGGGUAGGGGAACUGAGAGGUUUAUCCCCCACACUGGUACUGAGACACGGACCAGACUCCUACGGGAGGCAGCAGUGAGGAAUAUUGGUCAAUGGGCGCGAGCCUGAACCAGCCAAGUCGCGUGAAGGAUGACUGUCUUAUGGAUUGUAAACUUCUUUUAUACGGGAAUAACAAGAGUCACGUGUGACUCCCUGCAUGUACCGUAUGAAUAAGCAUCGGCUAACUCCGUG